ACAGAGGCAUUGCACAGACUGAAAGGUUAACAUGGAAAGACAAUUGAUUAAGUCCUGCUCAGAGCUGCUUUGGAGUGGUCUGCAUAAUUCAUCCACAACACUGCCUGGACAACUCCCAUGGACCUACUGGGCUGGGCUGUCUUCUCAGUGCUCAAGAGCCAGUUCCACACAGUGGAUGCAGAGCACCCGACUCAUCACCCAGAUGAACACAGGACAACUACAAGCACAUUCGCCACAUGGCCUUUGCUGGUUUGUCAUCUACAUCCAUCCCCCAGAAGGACUGGCCUAUGUAUGGACAGAUUCACAAACAUUCAACAUAAGCUUGAAAAGAAUGAAGUACCCAGAAGAUCAAGUCUGCUGUUUACACCAUUCAAAUAUGCUGUCUCUACUGUCUUGUGUAUUUAAGGCAAUGUAUAUAAAAGUACACAAAUUUUACACACCUGGUUCAGUGUGUUUGAUAUGAAUACACCCAUAUAAUCUAAAUGUAGACAUUUCCUCAGAAGCAUUUCUCAUGCCCUCCCAAGAAAACAUUCCACCUUUCCCCACACCAUUCUUUUAU